UACGUAGGUGACAAGCGUUGUCCGGAUUUACUGGGCGUAAAGAGCGCGCAGGCGGUCGAUCAAGUCGAGUGUGAAAGCCCCCGGCUCAACUGGGGAGGGUCAUUCGAUACUGAUCGACUCGAAGGCAGGAGAGGGUAGUGGAAUUCCCCGGUGUAGUGGUGAAAUGCGUAGAUAUCGGGAGGAACACCAAUGGCGAAGGCAGCUCGCUGGGACGGUACUGACGCUGAGACGCGAAAGCGUGGGGAGCAAACAGG
rnacentral:rRNA from 1 species